rnacentral:rRNA from 1 species
UACGAAGGGGGCUAGCGUUGCUCGGAAUUACUGGGCGUAAAGGGAGCGUAGGCGGAUGUUUAAGUUGGGGGUGAAAGCCCCCGGCUCAACUGGGGAGGGUCAUUCGAUACUGAUCGACUUGAAGGCAGGGGAGGGAAGUGGAAUUCCGGGUGUAGUGGUGAAAUGCGUAGAGAUCGGGAGGAACACCAGUGGCGAAGGCGGCUCGCUGGGCCGGUCCUGACGCUGAGACGCGAAGGCGUGGGGAGCGAACGGG